AGGACGAACGCUGGCGGCGUGCUUAACACAUGCAAGUCGAACGAGGCGCUUGCGCCUAGUGGCGAACGGGUGAGUAACACGUGAGCAACCUGCCCCUUGGCUCUGGGAUAGCCUCCGGAAACGGGGAUUAAUACCGGACAUGACCUUCUCCUGCAUGGGGGAGGGUGGAAAGUUUUUCGGCCAGGGAGGGGCUCGCGGCCUAUCAGCUUGUUGGGGGGGUAACGGCCCGACCAAGGCGACGACGGGUAG
rnacentral:rRNA from 1 species